rnacentral:misc_RNA from 1 species
AUAACAGGCAACCCACUCUAUAUAAUUACCCUUUGCUUUCCAUCCUUACAUCAUGGAGCUGUAAGUACGUACAAUAGCUUGCAGAAUUUGCACCACAAUAAUGGAGAGACGCACAUCAUUAUUGCACGCACUCCCAGUUCACUAUAAAGGCCACCAAUGGCCUGCGACAGAACUCCAUCACACGCCUAAUUAAGCCACAUAGAAAGUCACCCUCCACUUCACCUGUGCGCAUACAGGUUUUGAUUAUGCUGGGAAAAAUGCCGCAGCAUAUUUCCCUCCGUCAAA